GAUGAACGCUGGCGGCGUGCCUAAUACAUGCAAGUCGAGCGAACGGACGAGAAGUUUGCUUCUCUGAUGUUAGCGGCGGACGGGUGAGUAACACGUGGAUAACCUACCUAUAAGACUGGGAUAACUUCGGGAAACCGGAGCUAAUACCGGAUAAUAUUUUGAACCGCAUGGUUCAAAAGUGAAAGACGGUCUUGCUGUCACUUAUAGAUGGAUCCGCGCUGCAUUAGCUAGUUGGUAAGGUAACGGCUUACCAAGGCAACGAUGCAUAGCCGACCUGAGAGGGUGAUCGGCCACCCUGGAACUGAGACACGGUCCAGACUCCUACGGGAGGCAGCAGUAGGGAAUCUUCCGCAAUGGGCGAAAGCCUGACGGAGCAACGCCGCGUGAGUGAUGAAGGUCUUCGGAUCGUAAAACUCUGUUAUUAGGGAAGAACAUAUGUGUAAGUACCUGUGCACAUCUUGACGGUACCUAAUCAGAAAGCCACGGCUAACUACGUG
rnacentral:rRNA from 1 species